GGAGAGGUGCUCGAGUGGUUGAAGAGGCACGCCUGGAAAGCGUGUAUACCCUAAAAGGGUAUCCGGGGUUCGAAUCCCCGUCUCUCCGCAA
rnacentral:tRNA from 1 species